rnacentral:sRNA from 1 species
GCUGGACGGGGAAGCGGAGCACCGCCAA